rnacentral:rRNA from 1 species
GACGAACCGUGCGAACGUUGUUCGGAAUCACUGGGCUUAAAGGGCGCGUAGGCGGGUUGCCAAGUUCGGGGUGAAAUCCUCCCGCUUAACGGGAGAACGGCCUCGAAUACUGGCGGUCUCGAGGGAGGUAGGGGCGUGCGGAACUAUGGGUGGAGUGGUGAAAUGCGUUGAUAUCCAUAGGAACUCCGGUGGCGAAGGCGGCACGCUGGACCUCUUCUGACGCUGAGGCGCGAAAGCUAGGGGAGCAAACGGG